GAGUUCUAGACUCAGUUACAUGCUGUAGAGUCAAUAGUAAUUUGCACUUACAAGCAAAGGCAGAGUCCAAAUCCACAGUGGUUGUGAUAAACAGGGACAGAAUUUUCCUCCUCCUCCACCAGGCAGGCCCACUGCACCCUACAGGAAGAAAACACCCAGGAGCACAGUCCCUGCAGGAGGAGCCCUAGGCGUGUUUCUCUGCAGCAUGGGCAGUCCCAGAACUGCUUCUCCUUGAGACACCCAUCCUGGGAAGGGAAUUCCUGGCACGGUGAGCCUUGGCAGGGGUGGUGCAGCAGCCCUUGGCUUCAGGAAGUGGGACCAGAGAAGGGCAGCCCUUUGAGAACAGGAGGCAUCAGGCAUCCUCUCUGCACCCUCUGGCAGGGCCUGGUGUUGCACAGAGGUUUCUGCAAUGAUCCCAAGAGGACACCAGAAUGGACUGCGCUGCUGCCCUUGUGGCUACCAAUGAGCAGGAAGGCAAAGAAAUCACAGGAGAGCACAUUUUGAUGAUCUAACAGGUUCUUGGAGCUAACUAAGCAGGAUAUCCUUCUGUGUGAAACCUUCUUAGCAAACAUUUAAAAAAAUACAGUCUGUAUAAAUGUUUCAAGCUCUCACUAACUUCUAUUUGCAUGAAAUCAGGUUUUUCUGUCCCUGCAGAAAGAACUUACAACCUCUUGAUUUUUCACUCCUUUUCCCUCAAGC